CUGGGUUAGGUCCACUAUGUUAUGUACUCCUUCCAUGGUAACGUCCCCAAUAAUUUCCUUCGUAUGUUGCUGACUGGGAAGCCCGGAUCAUACUCUUGUUGCACCAGCAUACCUUCGUUCCCUCGAAGUAAUAGCUAUAGGUCUUGGAGAUUCUAUAAUAUCUCAAAUUGGUGCUGCUUUUGUCCAUUCUCCAUACCUUGCCAUACCACCCUUCAUAGGUUCAAAGGAACAUUCAGUGUUAGAGUGUCCAAUUCUACCACAUCAAUAACAAAAGUCUUUUAAUCUUUCGUACCGAAACUCAAUCCAAGUAUCAUUAUUAUUGUCUCUUGGGAGCCAACACCUUGUGGUCAGAGGGUUCGAGGUGUUUACAGCUACCUUUACUCUCAAGAAUCCUCGAACUUUCGCUUGGUCUUCAAAUUCGUCAACUCCCCAAUUUUUGUUGCUAGACGCUUCACAUUUUCUUCCGAGUUGAGAUUUGGUGGUACACCUCUAAUUUGUACCCAAAAGGAGACAACUUCCAUUCAGUGCUAGCUCUUAUGGUCAUCUUUUAACAGAAAAUUUUUGUUUCAUGACUGCCCACGGCACUUGGUUUAGAAUUUUAGCAGCAAUACUUUCAUCUUGGAAAGUGAUGAUAAAGGUAUUGUCUCUGACCCACUUGAGUUCUACUUCCCUCAUCUCUUUCCAUGAGGAUCUAAGGAUAUUUCUAACCCCCUAUUUGUUGAGGGUUUUGUUAACCAAUGUUGUGCCCCCUAAUUUGACCCAUUGCUCCAUUAUGGAUAGAUCCAUAUUCCUCUCAAGGUGGACCACCAAUUCCUCCAGAUGUGUACGAAUGGUAAACUGUUAAGGCUCUACCCAUAUUUUCACUCAAUUUUUUGUUUUCUCUCCUUCACACCUCACAACUUUUUAACUUCAGUUGUAGGUACACAAGGACCACAAACAUAAUAACCGAGGGUUGUAUACUUCUAUUAAUUCCUAAUCUGAAACGUACCUUGCCAUUCAUGCCCGACUUAAAGGUAGCUGAGUAGUUAGCCCUACAUUUGACGAAGUGAGUAGUUGGAGGUAUUCUUGUGUCUUUCCCUUGCCAGAGUUUGGUUGGAGUAAUUUAUGCAUAUUCCAUUUGCCCUGGUUUCCUGAUCUGCCAGCCUUAGUAGGGUUUCCUUUGCAUUUAUCUUUGAUGGGUGGGGUUCUAAUCCUUCUCCUACCUACCAU
rnacentral:lncRNA from 1 species